AUUCAUCGUCAAGUGCGCUCGUUCCUGUUUGUGUCGUCAAUCUGGCAACCUGCGUGUGUGCCAAGUCUGAGGAGGAGGGGCCGGGUGAAAAACCCUCUCCAAUAUUUUGAAUUUGGACUGUAAUACCUAGUUCAACCACUCAGCGUCAAUCCUACAUACAGCACCUUUAAUUAUCCUCACAGCGCGUCUUGCGGUGAUGAACUAUUAAAUAAUUGCGGGGGCAAUAAUUUCAUGUAACUUAAUAAUAAAAUAAACCUAAUAAUCAGGCCUAAUAAUAAUAAGAAGAAUGUAACAGGCCUACAUUAAUUGGAAAUUAAAUCCUCUUAAUAUUGCCAAUUUUUUAUGCUUUUGACAAUAUCUCUAGCUAUCGUCAAUGCAACUCAGCACGGGAGGUUAAUUAUAUAUAUAUAUAUAUAUUUAAAUUUACCUUAUUCGAAGCUACUGUAUAUAUAUAUAUAUAAAAACAAGGUGGCUGAAUUUGCAUGCUUUUUAGAUAUCUAAGGCUUAUAGGUGUUCAUUACUUUCACUCAAUUUAAUUCGUUUUUUAGCACCCCCUCUGAACUGUUAAGCCCCUCUUAGCACCCCCAACAAAAAAGUCCUGGAGCCACCACUGCAGCCAAGCAUUCACAUAAUGUAUCUCAUUACCUUGUACUUCAGUUAUAUCUGAUCAAAUGCACAUUAUUAUUCUUUUGCUUGGGUUGAACACAUAAUUUUUUGCUUGGGUACAGCAGCUAAUUUUUCUCUAUUUGUGUCUCUGUUUCUGCCACGGGAUUGACAUCCUGAGGUAACUAUGAAUUACACAAGCUUCAGUCUGGAUCCAGCCCUUACCAAGACCUGAGGUGACCGAACACCUGAGAAGAGAUGAUGCAAACCCCUCAGAGAUCUCUGAGUUAAACGCUAAAUUGAAGCUGUGAUUUACGGAGGACACGUUGUCCCUGAAGAUUCAUGGCUUGUAUAAAACCCUCUCACGCAGCAGCUCCCGAGAGCCACGUAAAACAGACUAUUGGAGCUUUCAUGGCCUCCCCACUUCGUCUCACACAUACGGGUCAUUUCAUGUAGCGACACUGAGGUCGAGAGUUUGCUUUUAAAGAAAGCAAAAGCUGUCAAACGACAAUGGAUUAUCGAGGAGGCAGAUACGGUGGAAAAAACAACAUUAAGAGUGAUAAUUCAGGCUAAGAGGGAAUUACAUAACAUCUUAGACGUUUGCGGAUGGGAGGGGCUUCAGAAUCCCAUCUGUGCAGAAUUCAUCAGUGCAGAUGGGAAGCUGCCAGCAGCUCUGGAAGCACCAUCGGGACGGUGUGAAGAAGGCCACACAGUCACAGCCACAGCUGGAAAUGUGUUGAGCAUCUAAGCACGUUUAUAU
ensembl:lncRNA